AGGUCUGACCUGCCCACUGAAAUUAUUUUAAAUGGCCGCAGUAAUUUGACUGUGCAAAGGUAGCAUAAUCAUUAGUUUUUUAAUUAAAAGCUUGUAUGAAGGGUUGGACGAGAUAAAAUCUGUCUCUAUUUAAUUUAUUAUAAAAUUUAAUUUUUAAGUUAAAAAGCUUAAAUUUUUUUAAAAGACGAGAAGACCCUAUAGAUCUUUAUAGUUUUGAUUUUGAAUUUAAUUAAUAAAUUUUCAGGAUUUAUAAUUUAAACUAUUUUAUUGGGGUAAUAGAAAGAUUAAAAUAAUUCUUUUUUUCUUUAAACAUUUAUUUAUGUUUUUAAUGAUCCAAUUUUAUUGAUUAUAAGAUUAAGUUACCUUAGGGAUAACAGCGUAAUUUUUUUAGAGAGUUCUUAUCGAUAAAAAAGUUUGCGACCUCGAUGUUGGAUUAAAGAUUAAUUUAGGUGUAGAAGUUUAAAUUUUUGGUCUGUUCGACCAUUAAAUCUUUACAUGAUCUGAGUUCAGACCGGCGUAAGCCAGGUCGGUUUCUAUCUUUAAUAAUUUUAAAAUAUUUUAGUACGAAAGGACCAAAUAUUUAAUAUAUUUAUAUUUAAUUUUUUGAAUAUUAUUAAAAAUUAUUUUGGCAGAAUAGUGCAAUGAAUUUAGAAUUCAUAAAUGUAAUUUUAUUACAAAUAAUACUUGUUUUUUUUAGAUGUAAUUUUUUCUUUAGUGUGUAUAUUUUUAUUAAUUAUUUGUGUUUUAGUUGGGGUUGCUUUUUUA
rnacentral:rRNA from 1 species